AUUGAACGCUGGCGGCAUGCCUUACACAUGCAAGUCGAACGGUAACGGGUCCUUCGGGAUACCGACGAGUGGCGAACGGGUGAGUAAUAUAUCGGAACGUGCCCAGUAGUGGGGGAUAACUGCUCGAAAGAGCAGCUAAUACCGCAUACGACCUGAGGGUGAAAGGGGGGGAUCGCAAGACCUCUCGCCAUUGGAGCGGCCGAUAUCAGAUUAGCUAGUUGGUGGGGUAAAGGCCUACCAAGGCAACGAUCUGUAGUUGGUCUGAGAGGACGACCAGCCACACUGGGACUGAGACACGGCCCAGACUCCUACGGGAGGCAGCAGUGGGGAAUUUUGGACAAUGGGCGCAAGCCUGAUCCAGCAAUGCCGCGUGCAGGAAGAAGGCCUUCGGGUUGUAAACUGCUUUUGUCAGGGAAGAAAUCUUCUGGGCUAAUACCCCGGGAGGAUGACGGUACCUGAAGAAUAAGCACCGGCUAACUACGUGCCAGCCGCCGCGGUAA
rnacentral:rRNA from 1 species